GACCGGCGUCUGCGAGGGGCCCCAAGGUUGGUGCUUGGCUGACCUCAUAGCCCACGAAAUGGUCCCCCAGCCACCCGUGAGGUGGGCAGGGGUUGGGGGUCAGCGAGGCAGGAACCUAGGGCUGGAAGACAUCCAGUGACUCGCGCAAGGUCACGCAGCCCACUCCUGGCGAAGUCUGCACUGGUGCCUAGGGCCUCCUCUGAGUAAAUGGAAAACAGCAGGACCCCGAAAUGUGAGGACAGUAGGAAGGCAACAGUCUGCAAGCCAGGAAGAGAGCCUUCACCAGGAACCAAAUUAGCCAGCACCUUGAUCUUAGACUUCCCAGCCUCCUGAACUGUGAGAAAUAAGUGUCUGGACAGCUGAACAACGAGAGACCUCAUGGAGAGGAGUGAUGCCAAUUAUACCCAGAAUCUGUGG